GUGGUCUCCAUGAGAUGAAACAUGUAAAGCAUGAGGUAGAGAACUGUAUCAUAAUGUAUCAAAUGGUUGGUCACAGUAGUUUUGUCAUUAUUGCAGGAAAAAAUGGUUUUCAGCUAUCUGUGUGCAUUGAAACCUUUCCAUGUGUGUGUAUCUGCAUAAGAAAACAUUCUUAGAGUGCUGUGACUUUUCCUGUUGUGACUUCCUUUUUUUCUUUAAUAUUUUUAAACCAAGUACAGUUGAUCUACAAUGUUGUGUUAAUUUCUGUUGCACAGCAAAGUGAUUCAGUUAUACAUAUGCAUUCUUUUUGUUAUAUUUUUUUCCAUUACAGUUUAUCAUAGGAUAUUGAAUGUAGUUCCCUGUGCUGUACAAUAGGACCUUGCUGUUUAUCCAUUCUUUAUAUAAGAGUUUGUAUCUGCUAAUCCCAAACUCCCGUCCAUCCUUCCUCCCACCCUCUCCCCACCCCAGGCAAUCACAAGUCUGUUCUCCUAAGUCUGUGAGUCUGUUUCUACUUCAUAGAUGGGUUCAUUUGCGUCAUAUUUUCAAUUCCACCUGUAAGUGAUACCAUAUGCUAUUUGUCUUUCUGCCAUCUGACUUACUUCACUUAGCAUGGUAAUCUCUAGUUGUAUCCACGUAGAAAGAAAAAAAAUAAGAAAAGAAGAAGAAAGGGCAGGGAAAAGUGGAGAGAAAAUAUCUAUGAUUGCAGAGGAGGAAAAAAGGUAUGAUGGGAGUGGGGAGGAGAAGAAGCAACAAAAAUGGUAUUCGGCCCACGUAAUAUCUGGCCCUUUAGAGAAAAUGUUUGCUGACUCAUGCCCUAAAUCAAGGAGUUUGUGUUGUGACUCUAACAUACCUGGGAGCAGCCCUCACUCAACCAACAAGAGCAAGUGCUUCAAACAACAAAUAGUUGAAGCUCCUCUUCAACUACUAGGCAGUCUCUUCAUCCCUAGGCCAGGAGUCACUUUCAUAAACUAUUGCACCACAGACUGCACCUCUCAAUAGGAGGAAUGGAAAGAAAUUUGAAGCCACCCUUAAAAGAUCAC
rnacentral:lncRNA from 1 species